rnacentral:rRNA from 1 species
GUAGCAAGGUUAACCGUAUAGGGGAGCCGCAGGGAAACCGAGUCUUAACUGGGCGUUAAGUUGCAGGGUAUAGACCCGAAACCCGGUGAUCUAGCCAUGGGCAGGUUGAAGGUUGGGUAACACUAACUGGAGGACCGAACCGACUAAUGUUGAAAAAUUAGCGGAUGACUUGUGGCUGGGGGUGAAAGGCCAAUCAAACCGGGAGAUAGCUGGUUCUCCCCGAAAGCUAUUUAGGUAGCGCCUCGUGAACUCAUCUUCGGGGGUAGAGCACUGUUUCGGCUAGGGGGUCAUCCCGACUUACCAACCCGAUGCAAACUACGAAUACCGAAGAAUGUUAUCACGGGAGACACACGGCGGGUGCUAACGUCCGUCGUGAAGAGGGAAACAACCCAGACCGCCAGCUAAGGUCCCAAAGUCAUGGUUAAGUGGGAAACGAUGUGGGAAGGCACAGACAGCCAGGAUGUUGGCUUAGAAGCAGCCAUCAUUUAAAGAAAGCGUAAUAGCUCACUGGUCGAGUCGGCCUGCGCGGAAGAUGUAACGGGGCUAAACC